rnacentral:rRNA from 1 species
AUAUGUAGGGCGCGAGCGUUGUCCGGAUUUACUGGAUGUAAAGGGUGCGUAGGCGGCUCUGCAAGUCAGGUGUGAAAACCAUCGGCUUAACUGAUGGACUGCAUUUGAAACUGUGGGGCUUGAGUGGAGUAGAGGCAGACGGAAUUCCCGGUGUAGCGGUGAAAUGCGUAGAGAUCGGGAAGAACACCAGUGGCGAAGGCGGUCUGCUGGGCUCUAACUGACGCUGAGGCACGAAAGCAUGGGUAGCAAACAGGAUUAGAUACCCUGGUAGUCCAUGCCGUAAACGAUGAUUACUAGGUGUGGGGAGUCCGACCCUCUCCGUGCCGGAGUUAACACAAUAAGUAAUCCACCUGGGAAGUACGACCGCAAGGUUAAA